UAAAAAGGGGUCCCACACAUUGUGUGACCAAUUUUAAUUGGUCCAACACAUUGUGUGGACCCAAGGCAAUGUGGAUAUUUUGUGAACCACUUAAAAGAUGAAGACCAAGUCUUCAUUCCUCAUUUAUUCACUUCAUCACUUAGCACAAAACAAGAAAAUAGAGAGUUCCCAACCCCCACUGUUUUCGGCCCAACCUUAGGAAAACCAAAUCAAAUUCUAGCUUCCCAAAAAUUAUUUCCUUGGUGUUAACCCACUAUAUUGAGGUCCCUAAGUAGCGUGGAAGAGUUGUUCGGGUCAUCCAACCAUUAGUUGUACCCAUUUGCAAACCCUAACUAUUUGGUGGAUUGAAGAAGAAAGAUCGUGGGCAGCCCGAAUCAUAGUUUGGACUUAGCUUGAGUUGGAUCAUAUUGGAGAGCGUUUGAGGUACGGACGCACAGCCUGGUGAUCCACCUGUUUAGGACACCCUUUCUGCUAUUCGGAGUGCUCCUCUCUUUCCGGAGCUUAUACUUUUGGUAUAUAUAUUUUUAUUAGUGCAUUUGUAUAUAUUCGUUCAUGGGUACGGCGGGGCC